rnacentral:piRNA from 1 species
UGCACAGUUGACUUAGGGGUUGUGUGC